rnacentral:lncRNA from 1 species
CGAGUGAGGCAUUACAUUUAUCAAUUGCGCCUCCCCAUUAAACAACAUCUCUACCACCCUUCUCCUCUCCACCCCUCUUUCUUCCUUAUUCUUGGCCCUCCUACUUCUCUAAUAGAAUAAAAUAAAAGGAGCUCCAGGUAUCACAUGUGCUGAUCUCACAUGUCAUUCUUCUUUAAUGUUUGGGAUUUUGGCUUGAAGGAAAAAAAUACUUGCUGCGCAAUGCAAAGGAGGUCCCUUUUCCAGUGGUGACAGGAGCAAAUCCAACUGAGGUAAUGCUUAGUUCUUUGUUGUUUCUCUUACUGUAAUGGAUCUCUAGAGCAUUUUUACAGAAUCAGUUGGGUCUGAAUCUGAAGGGGCUUUGGAAGAAAGCUCUAAUUCAUAUCAUAUAGGAAGGCAUCGAUGUUUUAUGUUUGCUCAAAAAGUUAGGAGUCUUUUGUGUCAUUUUGAUCAUGUGGGGAGGUCUUAAAAGCCAAAGGCUGAGAGGGAAGGAUAGAAUUUUUUAUUUUUCCAUCCAUUCUUUUUUUGUUUUUUUUUUGGGUUUGAUUGGUCAGGCUGCCCAUCAUCUGUAUAUAAAGGAAAAGAAUAUGCCAAUAGAACUGCCUGCAUGUUAAUUUCUUCCAACUCCAAGAGCCCAGUUUGUGUUUUCCUUUUUCUUUACUUUUUGGUCUCUCCCUCCUCCUUGUCAAAAAAAUGGCAAUUUGAUAUAUAUCUUUUUUUCCACAUAAUAUGUUGUUGAAAAUUAGAUCUUCAAUUUUCUUGGACUGAUGGGGAUCCAUAUUCCAUUCAUUAUCAACAGGUUGAAGUUUGAAAGUUGAAGGCUAUCUCCUUCUCAAUAGCAGUGGAUUACCAGUUUCCUUGAGGACCUACUUUGCUUGCUUGUCUGCGGUUAAGUUGCAGUUGGUCAAAGCUUUGUCACAAAACAGCAUCACCAGUUGGGGAUACUGGGUCAUGAUUCAAUAAAUAUAUUUGGAUUGCAAGCGACAGAAAGGCAAAGAACAAACUCAAGUUUGCAAGAACCUUAAAGUCCCACGUCAGAGAGGAAUUUAUAAGCUUGAUGAACAGAUCUCUUACCUCUUGAAAGAUUGAUAAGCCUUCACAUAUCCAAGUUGGGAAUUUAAAUGCACUUUGUGGCCUUUGGAUGCUGAGUGGCAAUUUUCAAAAGGUUUCAUUGUUUUAAGUCUAAUUGCAGUGGUGUAAUGGAAAGCAGAGUAAAGAGGACAACAUUGGGCAGUGUACCAAACUUGGAGUAUAAGAGGACUCAAUCGCAGAGGAAUCAUGGGAAAUCCUUUCCAUCGAGUUAUUUCAGCACAGAAAAAUUUCUGGUACUGAUCUGCCUCACAGCAUCAAUGAUACUUCUUCCGCUUAUCCUGCCACCAUUGCCUCCACCACCUUCCUUGUUACUACUGCUUCCUGUAGGCAUGCUAGUUGUGCUAAUGGUCUUGGCUUUUAUGCCAUCCGACAUGCAAAAAAUUGCCUCCUCUUACUUGUAAAGAGUUAGACAAAUGUUCACACGAGUAGAGUGCCCAAUAUUUUUUCCGUCUUUUCAUGUUGAUGCCUACUUAUUACUUUCAGCAUUCUCAUCCAAGUUUUGUCAUUAGUCCUUUAAAUUACAUUUGUAUGUAUCAACUUCUUUAUAGUUUUUGAUGGUGGUCAGUCUUCAGAAAUGAAGAUCAUGAUCAGUCUCUCACAUUUCAGAGUCUCGGAUAAAUCCAUGCUGCCAUUGAUACUACUCCCCGUCCAACCUCACUCUAACUGAUUUAACAAAGCAAAAAUCCACAAGAUCUUUAGCAAUCUCUGGUAGUGGGGUUUUUAAUCUGUUGCUCGAUUUUUUUAUUUAUUUAUUUAUUUUCUCCUAUGCUAUGCAUAUCGAAUGCGGUGAAAAAAGAGAAUAGAUGUAUAAUUGGAACCAUUCUACCAGCAGUGAGGUAAAACUAAAGAGAAGGCAGAUAAUUUAAACACUGGAGAUGAACUGAGUGGCCUAUAAACACAAUUAAAGUGCAUGUAGAUCUUUACGCAAAAAAGAAAAAGUGCCUGAAGAUUGAGACCAUGUUCUUAAUAGAUUGGAGCUUUUGAAGCCAAUUUAUUUAAAAUAAAAGGAUGGACAUUCUUUGCCUUGGUGCUGUAUAUACUUUACAUAGUCUGAAGCACAACGACUGGUUGAUAUAAGAACCCAUUUCACUGGAUCAAAUAAAAGACCAAAAAUAUAAAGCUCCGGUCGACAUAAACAUGUCAUGCAAUUUUCUGCUUGUUGUCUUGAAUUAGGCUGUUGUUUUAUAAUGUGGUUAUUGUCAGCAUCUCAACAUCUUUAUUUCUCAUCCUCCUUCCCAAUUUUGUUUCUUUGAUGAGUAUGAUCUCUGUUUGGGACUGGUGGUCUGGUGACUUUAUCACAUAAAUAGUACGGGCACCAAUAUGUGUUUCUAUGUGCAUGUUGUAUUCAAUCAUCAAAAAAAGGAAAAAAAAGAAGAAGUUUUUGUUGUAUUCUUUCAUUUCUUUGUUCCUGUAUGUGUUUCUAUGUGCAUGUAUGAUAAAGAAAUUGCACACAUGCACCGAUAUAUGUGAGUGCUAUCUACUGAAGACUUGGUGAAAAUUCAGCCUUGUACAAAACUUUGAAGUCUUUACCACAACAUGGUUAUCAAGGUCCUGUUGUUUCAACCUA